UCGACUGUGGUAGUACAUCCUAGCGGGAGGGGCUAUGAGCUCACGGGGCUUGUAGCUGUGCCAGAGAGCAAGCUUGGGUGAGCUAGCGGGGAAUAUCUCCUUCUGCAAUAGCCUUAAAAAAAGACUAUUGUUCGUUCUCCUGCCAGACGCCUCGCUGCUGUGCUGCCUUACUACUGUGCUGUCUCGCUGGUGCCAUUAAAGGACCGGCGGCUGCCAUCUAUUCAUCCAUCCGGACCUCGAUUAUUUGGACCGAAGUACUCACACACACGCCCGCACUCAGUGCCAUACACUCUCUUUAUUUUGCUGGCCAGCUAACACCAUUGUUUUUUUUCUUUUUGCAUUCACAAAGACAAUCCAAAGACAUUUUGGUUAUUGUCAAAUAGACACUCUCUGAUUACAGACUGAGGAGGUUGUGGUGUUACAACCCCAGGACUGAGAAAAAAGACUCUUUACAUAAUAUAUUCACUUGUCUCCUGGUUAGGAGAAGUGACUAUUGAUGGAAAUAUUUUUUCUUCUUCUUGUCUUUGUUUACAUUGUAUCCCAGAGAAGUUUUAAGUUGUUCAGGUUGAAACAUUUGCACUUAAAGUCUGUUAAGUUUCCUUUGAUGUAUCAGUGUCAAGCUGAUGUUUAAGAGGGUAUGUUAAGGACAGAUGUGCUCCAGUCCAUCAAUCCUUUAAAGUGCUGGACACCGAUGGUAAAUUGCCAUCAGACCCUAAAUAAAUUGUCCUCUGCUGUUAUCCA